rnacentral:sRNA from 1 species
ACCAGACACGUCGACAGCAUUUGACAUGACCUAAGCGUUCUAUUACUACAAGAUCCGACUUUUUGGCCGAGAUAUGCAAAUUUUCCCCAACAGCCCGAACCAGAGGAUCACCAGUCGCCGCUGUGCUUCGAAAGAAAUGAGCGAAAGGAAAUUAAAAUGCUAACCAACAGCGAAUCAACCGAUCCGCAUAUCCGCUCGACAACAUUUCUAAUUGAGAGAUUGCCCAGGUGUCCUUCAUUAUGGAUGGUGAGCUCUCUAGGGAAGAUCAAUCUCGUCCUCCACAACAACUUGUCUUAACCUUGUGCUACAGAAAGUUGUCCACAAAGAUCUGGGUCCUACUGUUUGGCAUCCGAAGGACGAGCCGUUCUGCACUGGAAAAGGGUUUGUCGACGUGGGCUGCCAACAGCGAAAACAGCAAGACCCAUACGGACGCACACAUCGCUCGAUCUCGAAAGACUGGCUUAACAAUAAAUGCGGAGUAGUCGUACAGUAAAUCUUGAAUGCUUUUAGGGGAACCCUGCUUUCUUUCACUGUAUGUUGGAGUGCACCGUUAUAACUGCUACCAUCACCUGGAUUGUCCUCUUUUUGAAGUGAGCAGUAAGGAAUAAGCAUGUCCAUUUGGGGUAAAAUCUAAAGAGUACUCGAAAUAUUCGACAGUUCCUUUAUGUAUUUCUUGAAGUAUCCCCUAAGAUGUAAAUCAGUUCUGGGCAGAAAG